GCGAGACACCCCGACCGGCGGCACCGCGUGACCGAUAAACUGGCGGGGAACCGUUUCGGGUGCAGCUCCCGGACGGUUCACCCAUGAUCAGCCAGCAGCCGCUGCAACCCCAGGGAG
rnacentral:sRNA from 16 species